CCCAGCUGGGAUGGUCCUGGAGCAUCCGGGGGUGGUGUCCCUAUGGCCACGUGGUGUCCCCGUGGCCGUGCUGAUGUCCCCGCGCCGUGUCCCCAGAGCCUGCUGGUGCUGCUGGACCUGCUGGGCACCCAGCACCCCGCCAUCCACAGCCACUUCCCCCGCACCCACCACUGGUUCCUGCGCCUCGUCGCCAUCGGUGCGCUGCGGGGACACGGGGACGUGGGGACGUGGGGACACGGGGACGGGUGUGGGGUCAGGGCGUGGAUGGGGACAGGGCAUGGACGGGCCCUGCGGAUGUGCAAAGGGCUGGGGACGUGGCGUGGGGACAGGAGGGUUGACAAGGGGCUGGGGACAGGGCGUGGGUGGCACCUGGGGGACGCCCGUGGGUUUGGGGACAAGCAUGUGGUCAGCAUGGGGUGGGGUGACGUGGGGAUGGGGACAGGGUGGGUGCUGGGACACGGGCGGUAGUCACGAGGAUGGGAAUGGGGACACGGAUGGGACGAGGAGGCUGGGAUGGGGACAAAGAUGGAGACAGGAUGGGGACGGGGGUGUCACAGUGCCUUUCCCUGUGUCCCCCCCGCCCCGUGUCCCCUUUGUGUCCCCGGUGCGCAGAGAAACGACUGCGGAGCCUGGGGCUGCUGCACGCCUCCCCCCAGGACCAGCCCUUUUUCCGGCUCAGCCCAGCCCCGGGGCCCGUCGAGGACGACCACGUCCCCUUCCUGCAACGUGGCGUCCCCGUGCUGCAUCUCAUCCCCAUGCCCUUCCCCUGGGUCUGGCACACCACCGAGGACAACGAGGACAACCUCCACCUGCCCACCGUGGAGGACCUCUGCAAGAUCCUCGCCGCCUUCGUGGCCGAGUUCCUGCAGCUCUGAGCCACCCGGACACCCCGACACCCUCCGGCCUGAGCCCCCCCGGGGCGUCGGGGCAGCCCCUGGCUGCGCUGGGAGCCCCCACUAAUAAAAUCCUCGGUGCCUGGCGUCGUGUCCUGCGCUGUCACCCACCCCUGGGGACACCCACGGCGACGCGGUUCGGAACAGGCUCGCUGGGUGGAGGUAGCUGCAGGUGGCAGGAGCGCAGAGGGGGAAACCCAGCUGGAAAAGGCAACGUGGGUCUUAUCGACCCCGUUUUCAGCUGGGGAAGGUCCAACCAGACCUCCAAAAGUCCCAUCCGGACCCCAAAGCGCUGCCGGAUGCUUCGUCGUGGAGGUCCUCCUCGUUUUAAUUUGGUCAGCAGUCCCCUUGUUUUUCCUUUCCGCGACUCCCGCGGUUGCUGCAGACCCACGAAAGAGCAAACCGUUACGUAAAAAGCACAUCCACGUUCAAAAGAUGUGUUUAAAUAUUAACUAAACAUCGAGGGAGCACCGGAAUGAUCAAGAAGGCGAGCUGUUGGUUCUCAUAAUGUUUCUCCUUCAUCUGCCUGUAGCAGUGGUGUUCUGGAUUUCCACUGCAAUCAGAUCUCUCUUCUAAAAAAACAAACAAACAAACAAAAAAAAAAAAACAACUUUUUUUGGGGUCUGUUUUGUCCCCAUUUCCAUCGAUGCAUGUCCUUGCAUCUGUCCCCAUCGCCCCAGUUCUUGACCUCGAAGCCAUCCUCUUGCACGCGUCUACCUGGGAACACUUCACUGCAGAAAUGUAAUUGGGUUUAAAAAGUGUUUUUUUUUUUUAUUUUUUAUUUUAUUGUUUUUUCAAAUCUUCUGGAAUGUUGAAGCAUCUAAGCCUGGAGAUAACGGAAGGGACCAGAUUAUGAGACUCAAAGCACUUAAAAGCAGUAGUUGUCUAGCUCUUUGGAAGGAAAUGACCUACACAGAGGCUGUUCCAAGAAGUAUUUCCUGAUUUUUAUUGCGUUGUUCUGCUCCCAUAGCCCCCCUAGUACCAUCCCCUACAGAACUCAGAGCCACCCAGCAUGAUCCCAGUGCCCCCAGUACCCUCCCAGAGCCUCGCUGUACGUCCUGGAGCCCACCAGGAACCUCCCAGCACCCCCAAGACCCUCCCAAAUUAUCCCAAGUUCCCCGAGAGCCCCCCGGUACACCUCAGAAACACCCAGGACCCUCACAGCACCCAUAAAACCUACUCGAAGCCCUCCAGGACUAACCCAGACCCUCAGGAACCUCCCAGUACCCCAGAAUACACCUCUGGUCAUACAAGAACCCCCAGAAAGAAGGCUCUGAGACACCACGAGGGCCUCAGAAAGGGUCCUGAGAAAUCUGCAGAGAUGCUGAGGGAGCCACUGUGGAAAAAAAAUACGGUUUUGGAGCUAAACAAGCACCUCAGGAGGGAUUCUGAGGGGACUAGAGAGGGCCUAAGGGGGCUGAAGAGGUACCAGAAGGUUCUGGGACAUAAUAAAGACCUUCAGAGGGGACCCA
rnacentral:lncRNA from 1 species